GGUUUUCAGCGCUAGUCUAUGACAACAUGUAGUUGAGUUGAGGUACAGACAAAAGGAAAAUUACUGGUAAAAAUAACUGUGGCGACAUAUCCCCGGUAUUAAGAGGCCCGCAGCGGAGUCAGCGGUAGCUAAGGCUGUACAAACAAUUGAGA